UUCUUGCUUGAAUGUUCGCGGCUUGGGC
rnacentral:piRNA from 1 species